CUCAGCGGUGUUUGGGCGUCAAGUGUCUGGAACUCAAAUCGGACACUCAAUUACCUGAACACCGCUGAGACCUCCAGAGCUCCAUAACUCCCGAACGGAGAGGCUAAUCAGCCCCCCGUUCGGUGAGUUAAAAAUACCGAACAAGGGAAUUCAUGCGAAUACAAGAUUAAUAGUGGAUGGCAUGUAGUUAUGUGUAUUUUACCUCCUGAACGGAAACCAACCGCAGGGCCAAAACCCAUGGAACCCAUGGAACCCAUGGAACCCUUUUGGCUACCACCUCGUCAAAUUGUCUCUUCCACCUAACUCCCGAACCCCUGGUUUGAUCUGGGUGAAUUUUGGAUAUGUUUGUCACCCAGAUCAGGGCUACCAGGGGGUGCAACUUAGCCCAUUGUACCUAACUGUUUUGGGGUACAUCCAGAAUUCGGGGAAAAGUACAGCAUGAUUAAUGGGAUUAUGUGUCACACUGAGGGGAGGACAUGUGUGGAAAGUAACUGUGACAUUAUUGUAAUUAUUGACAUUAUUGAAAGUAACUUAAUUAUGAUGAAUCCCUCCCUUGCGUGGGAGAAUGCUUU